rnacentral:tmRNA from 1 species
GGGGCUGAUUCUGGAUUCGACGGGAUUUGCGAAACCCAAGGUGCAUGCCGAGGGUCGGUUGGCCUCGUAAAAAGCCGCAAAAAAUAGUCGCAAACGACGAAAACUACGCUUUAGCAGCUUAAUAACCUGCUUAGAGCCCUCUCUCCCUAGCCUCCGCUCUUAGGACGGGGAUCAAGAGAGGUCAAACCCAAAAGAGAUCGCGUGGAAGCCCUGCCUGGGGUUGAAGCGUUAAAACUUAAUCAGGCUAGUUUGUUAGUGGCGUGUCCGUCCGCAGCUGGCAAGCGAAUGUAAAGACUGACUAAGCAUGUAGUACCGAGGAUGUAGGAAUUUCGGACGCGGGUUCAACUCCCGCCAGCUCCACCA